AAGGGUAUGUUCAGGGUUAUUUUUGAUAUAAAACUGAUAAAUGAUUCUCUUCUUUCACUGCCUUCACCAAAUAUUAUAGGAGUUCUCGACUUAGUUUCUGUUGUUUGAAAUGUAGGCCUUGUCCAUUCCCCUUUCUUGCAGAGUUCGAAAAGAGUGGUUCGAGGUCCUCCUUUCUUCAUGUUAAUUGACUCGAUAACUGGGAGGCCCUCUUUGGGACUGCCAACAAGGGAAGGAACGCC
rnacentral:misc_RNA from 1 species